AUUGAACGCUGGCGGAAUGCUUUACACAUGCAAGUCGAACGGCAGCACGGACUUCGGUCUGGUGGCGAGUGGCGAACGGGUGAGUAAUGUAUCGGAACGUGCCCAGUCGUGGGGGAUAACGUAGUGAAAAUUACGCUAAUACCGCAUACGAUCUAUGGAUGAAAGCGGGGGAUCGCAAGACCUCGCGCGAUUGGAGCGGCCGAUAUCAGAUUAGGUAGUUGGUGGGGUAAAGGCCCACCAAGCCAACGAUCUGUAGCUGGUCUGAGAGGACGACCAGCCACACUGGAACUGAGACACGGUCCAGACUCCUACGGGAGGCAGCAGUGGGGAAUUUUGGACAAUGGGCGCAAGCCUGAUCCAGCCAUUCCGCGUGCAGGAUGAAGGCCCUCGGGUUGUAAACUGCUUUUGUACAGAACGAAAAGGUUUCUACUAAUACUGGGAGCUCAUGACGGUACUGUAAGAAUAAGCACCGGCUAACUACGUGCCAGCCUCCGCAGUAA
rnacentral:rRNA from 1 species